rnacentral:rRNA from 1 species
UACGAAGGGGGCUAGCGUUGCUCGGAAUCACUGGGCGUAAAGCGCACGUAGGCGGAUCUUUAAGUCAGGGGUGAAAUCCUGGAGCUCAACUCCAGAACUGCCUUUGAUACUGGGGAUCUCGAGUCCGGAAGAGGUGAGUGGAACUCCGAGUGUAGAGGUGAAAUUCGUAGAUAUUCGGAAGAACACCGGUGGCGAAGGCGGGAUCCUGGGCCAGUACUGACGCUGAGGAGCGAAAGCGUGGGGAGCAAACAGG